UGAUGAUUCAGCACCAGCCAGGGAGCCGGGCCUGCUGUCACCAAUCACCAGAUCACCAGCAGCUGAGACAGGUACACACUUCUAGAGGAACCUACCACCAGGGUGACAAGCAGUGUUUUGCUUCCCUUGCUGGUUAAAAGUUUCAAGCCUAUUUCACCUCUGACUACACCCAGCAUGACUGGCUAGGCAUGGUCAGGAACCUGCUCUGUUUUACCCCUAACCACACUUAACACUGACGUCAUGGGAUCCUUGAACACACCUAAACACCACCACAGCAACGUGAGAAGUUAAACCUCUGGAGCUCAUCAAAAUGCUGAUUUUCACCAAAGUACCACCAUCUCAGCAUUCACUGUCUCAUCUACUCCCACCUAUGCACUUGUCGAACUACUCUGAGGAAGAAAAUACCAAAGGGAUUGACAAAGAGCCAUUC